AUUCACCCUUCCAGUACAGUGUUAUGGGACUUAGUUUGAGUACUUGUCACGAGUAAUUCUGGCUUUGAUGUAGCGUCUGGCUCAUGCAUGGAUGCAUUCAUUCGGCCAAUUAGCAAUUGCGACGUCUUCAUAUCCGCGUUAUACCUCAAGUUUACGAGCAAUUCAGUCUUCAAUCGCAGUCUUCGUUUGCUGUUUAAUACACGGCUUGUAGAUUUCCAAGUUCAAGGUUCUGACUCUCUGUGCCUUACUCUGCAGCCAACCACGGUUUCGAGAAGUGGAGAUGAGAACAGGCCCACAUUGGUUAUUGUGCAGAACCCAAGUCUAUCCGACUUCACCUUUACAGACUUCACCACCGAACCGUGCCUUAAUGGCUUUCCUAAAAUUCCAGGAAAUUUUCAACCAUUGUGGCCUAAUCCAUCUUCAUCGUCAAUAAGUGAACACGAAGGUCUGCAGCUCAGACUUAGAACCACUGGAGAACUUUCCAAAGUUGAGGAGUCUGUGCUUCGCAAAGGCAAUCACAUGGCCGAGCAUAGUCAUUGGGAGUCGAAGUCAAGGAGCAUUGACAGCAUGGUUAGCGACAGUACGGGGAACAUGGAACAGGUCUCAGUGGAUGUGAGGAGAUUCAAGAACUACGCGUUCGUUCCAUUUGAGCAUUUAUGUGGUGACUUGCGGCCUCUGCAUUCGAAUACAUAUCUAUGCAAAAGCUUGCAAUCCUCUGUACACUCUAAAUAACGCAAGCCAUCCCAAUGUUGUUACUUCUAACCUGUAUAAUCUAUUCUUGAAGCCUAAAAUGGCAAAUCCAAAGACGUACCUGGUGAUGAGAAAGCCCAACGAGUACGAACUAUUUAGAGCCCGAGCUGUCUUGCUGACAGAAAUUGUAGCUAUAGAUUUUUAUACCCAAUUAGCUUUGGGUACUACAGGUAAAUCAAGUUUCACGAUAAGAUACACAUAUGAUGCAUGACAAGUAGUGGUGAAGCGCAGCUCUAGACUUAC
rnacentral:lncRNA from 1 species